rnacentral:rRNA from 1 species
GAUGAACGCUGGCGGCGUGCCUAAUACAUGCAAGUCGAGCGAACGGACGAGAAGCUUGCUUCUCUGAUGUUAGCGGCGGACGGGUGAGUAACACGUGGAUAACCCACCUAUAAGACUGGGAUAACUUCGGGAAACCGUAGCUAAUACCGGAUAAUAUUUUGAACCGCAUGGUUCAAAAGUGAAAGACGGUCUUGCUGUCACUUAUAGAUGGAUCCGCGCUGCAUUAGCUAGUUGGUAAGGUAACGGCUUACCAAGGCAACGAUGCAUAGCCGACCUGAGAGGGUGAUCGGCCACACGGGAGCUGGGACACGGUCCAGACUCCUACGGGAGGCAGCAGUAGGGAAUCUUCCGCAGUGGGCGGGAGCCUGACGGAGCAACGCCGCGUGAGUGGUGAAGGUCUUCGGAUCGUAAAACUCUGUUAUUAGGGAAGAACAUAUGUGUAAGUAACUGUGCACAGCUUGACGGUACCUGAUCAGGAAGCCACGGCUAACUACGUG